CAUGGAGAUCAUCGAGGUUAGGGAUCCUCUUCUCUCAAUGGGCAAAGAAUCAUCAAAGGACACAUCCUCUAUGUCUCUAAACACAGCAUUAUCAGCAUAAAGUCAUGUUAUUAAACAGGGUUAUGUCAACAUAAAUAAAAGUUAUAAAAUAGGGACAGUCAGCUCUAACUUUCUUAUAACACAGCAUUAUGUCUGUCUUAAGUGAGGUCAAGUCAACACUAAGUCAGGUUAUAAAUCAGGGCCAUAUGAGGAUUAUGUCUGAUUAUAACACAAUGGUCAUUUCAGCAUUAAGUCAGGUUGUAACACAGGGCCAUGUCAGCAUUAAGUCAGGUUAUAACACGGGGUCAUGUCAACAUUAAGUCAGGUUAUAACACAGGGUCAUGUCAACAUUAAGUCAGGUUGUAACACAGGGUCAUGUCAGCAUUAAGUCAGGUUGUAACACAGGGUCAUGUCAGCAUUAAGUCAGGUUAUAACACAGGGUCAUGUCAACAUUAAGUCAGGUUGUAACACAGGGCCAUGUCAGCAUUAAGUCAGGUUAUAACACAGGGUCAUGGCAACAUUAAGUCAGGUUGUAACACAGGGUCAUGUCAGCAUUAAGUCAGGUUGUAACACAGGGUCAUGUCAGCAUUAAGUCAGGUUAUAACACAGGGUCAUGUCAACAUUAAGUCAGGUUGUAACACAGGGCCAUGUCAGCAUUAAGUCAGGUUAUAACACAGGGUCAUGUCAACAUUAAGUCAGGUUGUAACACAGGGUCAUGUCAGCAUUAAGUCAGGUUGUAACACAGGGUCAUGUCAGCAUUAAGUCAGGUUAUAACACAGGGUCAUGUCAGCAUUAAGUCAGGCUAUAACACAGGGUCAUGUCAACAUUAAGUCAGGUUGUAACACAGGGCCAUGUCAGCAUUAAGUCAGGCUAUAACACAGGGUCAUGUCAGCAUUAAGUCAGGUUAUAAAAGAGGAUAUUGUCAACAUUGUCUUGUUAUAUCUAUGGUCUUCAAAGGAUAUUCACAUUUUUACAACACUUACAAAUGUACAGUUCCUGUAAUAAUUAAUACUAUUUCGUCUCUUCAUAUACUAAAAGAAUAAAUUAAAUGAAUUACAAAUAAACAGAGAAAUAUUGAUUAGUAAUUAAAAGUUUAAAGAUCACAUUUCAAACCAAGUUUGUUAGUUCCUGGCCAGGCGUUUGUACAUGUAUGAAUGGUAGCAUCCUUGUCUAGUCCGGAAUCCCAGAAGGCGUCAUAUGUGGACUUAAUAAAUGCUAGAGAUUUUUUUUUUUUUUUUGCUUUUUGAGAGUAUUGAUGAAAAUCAAAACUUAAUCAGCUUUUGCAUCAAUAAUUUCCAUCAUAAUCUUGGAUUGAUUUGAUAGAAAACUGGGAGAUGGAAUGACACGUUUCCCAAUUUUUUGGCAUCUAGGAGAAAUUUGGCAGCUUGAAUUGAUGAAGCUUUCAGUAGGUCACUGCUGUGCAUCGCUUAAAGGGACUGGUUCAAGAUUUUCCCUAAAAUUUUGUCUUUCACUUUUAAUGAUCAAAACCUACUGUCUAAUGUGUUUAAAAGAUUUUGCAUAAAAAUCAAGGUUAAACAUUAUCACAGAAGCCCCUUUUAGAGAAUUUGUUAUUUGUUUUGUAAACAAAGAUUGCGGUAUGUUAUUGUUUACGAAAUUUUCAAAAGAAAUGAAUAUCGAUCUAAGUCUAUUAUAUCUUUCACAUUUCAAGCAUUCUUUGGGUAGAAUGUGUCAUCUAAAAGUUAAAAUAUGUGACUAUGCAAAAUUGAGAUGCUUUUUAUUACAAAAUUAAUAUUUCACUGGUUUGUUUGUAUACAGAAAAAGACUCGAGUCUUUAUUUACAUAACACAGAUUUAAGGCUAAAAUAUUUCUUUUAUUCUUGCAUUCAGAAGGUCAAAAUUUUGGCUGUCAACAUUGAAUGAGAUAUUUUUAAUGUUUAACAUCAAAAAUGCAAAAUAUUUUUUUCAAAAAUCGUGAACCAGUCCCUUUAACAUAUUGAAAGGCAUGUUCCAUGGACUUAUGGUUUACAUAUGGAGAAGAAGAUUUUAUAAGAUUUAGACAUUUUUACUAUAUGGCCAUAUUGGCCCUGCCCUAGGGCCUGAACCCCUGGCCAAGGAGCCAUGAAUUUGACAUUUUUGAUAGAGGGCUUCAUGGACAUCAUAACCAUGCAUUGAGUUUUUCUCCUGCAUAUGUGGGAAUAGAGAUUUUUGAAAAUAUUUCCUUUUAAGCAUAUUUGGCCCUGCCCAUGAGGCCCAAGUGGUGGCAAGGUCAUAAAUUUCCCAAUUUAUAUUCCUCUUAUUCUAGAGAUGCUUCACACCAACAAUGGUAACAAUUGGCUAUGUGGUUUUCAAGAAGUUAUCGCAAUUCACCUAUGAAUUAGAACGCUUUGGCCGAUAUAGUAUUGCGUUGUGUGAUGACACAAUUGAAUCUGUUUGUAAUACAAUUGUGAAAAGCCCCAUACGACCCAAAAACUCACAGCUUUUGAUGAUUUCGUUCGUUGACGUAGCCAUGUUUGGUAGCCAGUCAAUUCGAAUUCUGGUUCAUUUCCAUACUGGCACAAUAGCGUCUAGAUGUGAAUACCCCACAAAUAUUUUAGCUAAAUAUUUUAAAUAAUAUAUCAUCCCAGUUCCAUUAAAUGAUAAUUAUUCAAAUAGCUAAACUCAUGGCAAUGCAGCUUUCAUUAAUUAGUCUGGGCUGGUCUUCAUCUCUGCCAUACAAAUGUUAAGGACCAUAAUGGGCUUAUGUAGCAUUUUCAUUAAUCAAGAGCUUAUUUCACCUUUACAAAAACUAUAUUUUUUAAUUUCUAUUAACUGUUCGUGUUGAUAAUAAAUGAAGAGCGAAUACAUAACUUACAACCAAUUUUAUGAAUAGAUACCAACAGAGUUCGAAUUGACUGGCUACCUAACAUGGCUACGUCAACAAACGAAAUCAUUUGAAGCUGCGAGUUUUCGGGUCGUGUGUGGCUUUAAUGAAUAUUUGAAGAUAUGUUUGGACACAAGUAUAGUAGGAAAAUAUGUUAAGAUUUUUUUAUAUUGAAUUUAUGAGACAGCAACACAAGAAUACACCAAUAACACAAUAUCAGGCCUCAACUGUGCGCAGCUUUUUGUGCCCCGUAAAUCGAAGGUUUUUAUAAGAGCUGGAUCUGUAGCUCUGUUCCGUUACAUUAUUUUUUCACCCGUACCUGAAUCAGCUAAAAAAAGUGGGCGGGCUGUAAUCAGCCAAUGAAAACUCUUGUUGUAUUACAUCAAACAUGUCGUUCAAACUGUUCGAUCGUCUCAUUCAAUUGUGUCGUCACACAACGCAAUACUAUAUUGGGUAAAGCGUUCUAAUGCAAAGGUGAAUUGCAAUAAAAAUGUAAAAUUGUUAACGGAUGACAAACAACGCAUGACGACAAAGACCAAUAGCAACAGAUCACCCGAGUGAC